AAUAAUAAUAAUAAUAAAAAAGUUAGAUAGGCAGAAGGCAGAAAAACUGGUUUACCCAUCAGCUGUGGAGAUGCAGUAGGACCUGGAGGACUGAGCAAAGAGGCAAACACUGUUUUUCUCUUUCAGUCAUUCUCACUUCUCUUAGAGAAUAUUCUGGAUUUGCCCAUGACUCAGAGGAUGACAUCAGAAAUGACACAUAACCCAUCUGCCCUCACUGAAUGGCAGUAAGAUGUCUCUGCCUCAGGGAGAUGUUGUGAAGAUAGAUUUGUUUUCCUGUAAUUUGACUGUCUGAAAUAAUUUGACUGUAUAAAUGCUAACGAUGCUGAUCUGGAGCAAUCUUCCCACCAUUUCUCGUAAUUUCUGGUGUGUAAAACAGACUGCCUUCCUCAGCUGGAAAUUCCUGUGGGGAGUUUACUGAGAAGUGAAGAGCUCAUUCUCUGCAAGUGGAGUCCCACUGUGCAUCCUGGAAGAACUAUGACCAGGAGCUCUUGUGAUGUAACUGCCUUCAUUUGUCACAAUGGGAGAUUGGUAACCAACACUGGAAACGUAUUCUGCAGAAGGAGUACAUUUAUGGAGAAGAAUAUGAACCUGUGGAAGAUGCUUCCCCAGAACCAUGAUAAAGCGGAGUCUCGGAAAGCUGGGUUUGGUCUCAGGAGCAGGAGAAACUACAUGGAAGCCAAAGAAGAAUCAGGGUAUUGUUUUAAACAGUGAGUACAUGCUUGAGAACCUGGAAUAUUGCUGGGCAAGGAUUUCUAUCCCAAAGCUACCUAGUUAAUGAGACUACAUUUAAGGAAGAUCAUAAGAAAGGAUUUAAACGGGGACAUCUUCCAAGGUAGCACAAAAAUAAAUCUCUAUCUCUGUUGUAUUGAAAAUAUGUU
rnacentral:lncRNA from 1 species